rnacentral:lncRNA from 7 species
AUCAAACCACUGGAAAUUAUCAAGCUUUCAGGAUCUGACUGUAAGGAGCGCCGGAGCCUCUGAAGUCAGGUAGCAUGAGGCAGCAUCUCUUUGUCAUGGCAUCAUUCUAAAUAUGAUUGCAGCUACACAGAUAGGCUGAGACUCAGACCUCCGAGAGAAUAGGAGAAGGGUAGCAUAAUAAGAUGUGUACCACUAGUGAAGUUCAAGGGUGACACAAGUUUUGGAAGUAUGAUAGUUGCUGGAAAAGAGAAGAUUACUGACGCAAGAUGAUCUGAGUUGGUUGUUAUGCUGAAAAGAGCAAGGAAAUCUGUGUUUUAUUGUGAAUUGUUUCCUGUAGUGAUAAUAAUGGUAAGGGUGGAGACAAGCUAUGAUGGAAAAGUUUUGAAACUCUGAUGUAUUUUGACCUGGACACGAAAUCAGUGUAAUGUUGUGACUGGAUAUAUUUAUGUAAUCAUAAAUAUGUACAUGGAGAACUAUCAAAUAUUUGGGGUACAGAAAGUAUGUCAUCUUUCUGUACCAUUGGUGUUUGUGGUCAUAAAUGGUCUGGAGUCUGCAACUGUAAGUGAAUACUGACCUAAUUAAGUCCUGACCCAAAAGCCGCACAGCUGACUUAAUGUUUUGGCCUCCCUCAACAGUGCUAUUAGUAGAUCUCUACACUGUUCUCCUUGUAGCGAUAUGGAUGCACUAUACAAGAAAUAAUAGAUAAAUUUUCUAUGCUAUAUGGCUGCUCAGAAAAAUAUAAGAAUAGCAAAUUCAUGAGGCUGGAAUCCAAAGAUGACAAGUUCAGAAGUGAAAUUUAACACAUGAACCAGGAGGAUGAUUAACUGUUUCCUUAGUUUGAUAAGCAUGGUAGUCCAUCCUCAGAGAUUUUAAAGAAUGGUUUUCCUCCUGAGAGUACAUGCUAGUCUAAUCAGGAAUGUUUCAAGGGAAUGCAAUGAAUAACCCAUGAAAAAUGCCAGACACAAACAACAACCUCCUGCUGUUCUGAUCUUUUUGUGAAAUUUUCCUUUGAGUAAGUUGAUAGUAGGAAAAUAAGAGGGAAGGUUUGUUCUCACCAUUCACUAUCUUGCCAGAUGUUCAAUAUUCAGUUUUCAAAAGAAAAAAGAAAGCCCUUCUUUCAUUUGAAAACUUGUGAGCUAUUUAGCUAUAAAUCACAGGAGAUACACCAACUUGAAUGAUUCCACUAGUUCUCAUUCUGUGAAUAAUUACACUUUUUCCAUGAGAAAGUGAAGUUAUUACGUGGUUUAAUAUGGUGCUUCUUAAUUCCAGAAGAGCUCUACCUUUUUAAGUUGUAUUGCAAAGACCAAAACAUUCAUUUCCUUUUAAUUUCUUUUCCCACUCUUUCCACCUUCCAUUAUGUCACUAAGCAAACUAGAUAGGUUAGCUGCUAUGGAGUCAGCCAUAAGGUGAUGUGAAGAAAUGAAGGAGAUACCUUCAUCUUUAAAUUCUGUGAUGAUCAAAAUAAAUAUGUGAAUUUAUUCUGCCUGUAGACUAUUAAUGAUGCUUACAGAAAAACAAAUAAAUAAAUCCCUUUCCUUACUCUUGAAGUCAGAGAGAGUCAAUUUUCCAUAUACUGUGAUUUAUGUUUGAAUAUACGUACCGAUUAAAAAAACAAUGAAGAGAGAGUCCUAGCAAUUCUGGCAGUAAAUCUAGUCUCAUAAUAGUGUAAUUAUUUUAUAUAGUCUUUCAUUUCUUUUUAAAAUAAAGUUAUAUAUUCCUCUUUUGUUCUGCACAGCAACAGAGCAAAUUAACAGUAACAGAAUGUUCUAUUAAGUGAACUAAUGGUGCAGCUUUUUCUGCUAAACUUGUAUAACUCCUUAGAAACACCAUGUGCUGCUUGUUCAGUUCCAGUUUAUCUCCUCAUCAUUCUAGCAAGUCAAGUGAGGUCUUUUCUCUCUUUAAGAAUAUUUCCCUAUAUCUUAGUCUCGAGGUCUCACUUGCUGCUAAUUGCAGUGAUCGCAAAUGUGUUGACACUAAAGCUUGGUGAAUGCUGAAAAGAAAUCUGCAAAUAUUUAUUUGACUUAGUAUGUGCAUUUGUUUUGGCACUGUUCACACCCCUGGCGAUUUCCCUUCACUUGCAAACUUAGUGGCGUGAAUGGUUGCAAAACAAUGUAUUUUGAAUAAAUUUUGAAUAAAUACUGUGAAUUUUUGGAAGGUACAUUUCAAAAUCAUAAUGGCAAAUAUUACUGCUGAAAAACUGGUUCUUAAGCAGGCUGUUGGACCUACUAACAGUACUGUGCAAUCCUAAAGAUUAAAUUGCUUGUGAGUUUUCAAGAGAGCAUAUGAGAGAUCAGUGAAUUUGCCAGUUUGCACCAGCAGAAACUUGACUGCUAAGCCAUAUCCAUAGA